rnacentral:tRNA from 1 species
GCCGGCGUAGCUCAACUGGCAGAGCAACCGCCUUGUAAGCGGUUGGGUCGGGGUUCGAAUCCCCGCGUCGGCU